rnacentral:rRNA from 1 species
CCUACGGGUGGCAGCAGUGGGGAAUAUUGGACAAUGGGCGAAAGCCUGAUCCAGCCAUGCCGCGUGUGUGAAGAAGGCCUUCGGGUUGUAAAGCACUUUCAGUGGGGAAGAAAGCCUUGGGGCUAAUACCCUCGAGGAAGGACAUCACCCACAGAAGAAGCACCGGCUAACUCCGUGCCAGCAGCCGCGGUAAUACGGAGGGUGCGAGCGUUAAUCGGAAUUACUGGGCGUAAAGCGCGCGUAGGCGGUCUGAUAAGCCGGUUGUGAAAGCCCCGGGCUCAACCUGGGAACGGCAUCCGGAACUGUCAGGCUAGAGUGCAGGAGACGAAGGUAGAAUUCCCGGUGUAGCGGUGAAAUGCGUAGAGAUCGGGAGGAAUACCAGUGGCGAAGGCGGCCUUCUGGACUGACACUGACGCUGAGGUGCGAAAGCGUGGGUAGCAAACAGGAUUAGAUACCCUAGUAAUC